GACGUAGGGGGCGAGCGUUAUUCGGAAUCAUUGGGCGUAAAGCGCUCGUAGGCGGCUCCGCAAGUCCGUGAAGAAAGACCUGGGCUCAACCCAGGGAACGGCACGGAUACUGCGGGGAUUGAGGGAAUCAGAGGGUGAUGGAAUUCCCGGUGUAGCGGUGAAAUGCGCAGAUAUCAGGAGGAACACCGGUGGCGAAGGCGGGUCUCUGGGCCGAUACUGACGCUGAGGAGCGAAAGCGUGGGGAGCGAACAGG
rnacentral:rRNA from 1 species